UUGAGCAUCAAACUUUUAAAUUGAAGAGUUUGAUCAUGGCUCAGAUUGAACGCUGGCGGCAGGCCUAACACAUGCAAGUCGAACGGUAACAGGAAGCAGCUUGCUG
rnacentral:rRNA from 1 species